UUCGCCGCCGUCUCCAGCCGCCGACGUUUCGGAGCUCAUCUCAACCGGUAAGGUGAUGAGAUUGUCGGAGUUGGUAAUCAGAAAAGACUAUUCUUCUCGAUUUCGCUGAGGUUGUUCAUCUCUGAGAGCUUGGGGAUUUAUAGUUUGAGUUUCCAUCGGUUACUUUGGAGAUGAUGAGGUUGAUUGAAUGCUUGAGAGUGAGACGAGUGGGAUGAUACAGACAACACGACGCGCGCGAGAAGGAGGAGGGAACGUGGCCACACCGAUCUACUCUGGACCUAACAGGUGUCGAAAAAAGCCCCAACCUGUUGUGGUGUUGUGGAAGGCUGUGUGCAUCACACAAAUCAAUUUUAUAUAUAAAGAUUUUAUAUCAUAUAUUGUGUAAUAUUAAUAAAUUUAUAUUGUUCAACAUUAUUACGUAACAGUUUGGUUUUAUACAAAUUGUUUUAUUAUCAUAA